rnacentral:rRNA from 1 species
UUCCGGUUGAUCCCGCCGGACCUGACUGCUAUCGGAUUGAUACUAAGCCAUGCGAGUCUUUGCAGUAAUGCAAGGCAUACGGCUCAGUAACACGUAGUCAACUUACCCUAUGGACGAGGAUAAUCUCGGGAAACUGAGCAUAAUACUCGAUAGAUCAUAAUGCCUGGAAUGGUUUAUGGUUAAAAUGAUUCGUCGCCAUAGGAUGGGACUGCGGCCUAUCAGCUUGUUGGUGAGGUAAUGGCCCACCAAGGCGAUUACAGGUACGGGCUCUGAGAGGAGAAGCCCGGAGAUGGGUACUGAGACAAGGACCCAGGCCCUAUGGGGCGCAGCAGGCGAGAAAACUUUGCAAUGUGCGAAAGCACGACAAGGUUAAUCCGAGUGAUUUCUGCUAAAGAAAUCUUUUGCAAGUCAUAAAACCACUAGUGAAUAAGGGGUGGGCAAGUUCUGGUGUCAGCCGCCGCGGUAAAACCAGCACCUCAAGUGGUCAGGAGGAUUAUUGGGCCUAAAGCAUCCGUAGCCGGCUCUGUAAGUUUUCGGUUAAAUCCAUGUGCUCAACGCAUGGGCUGCCGAAAAUACUGCAUAGCUAGGGAGUGGGAGAGGUAGACGGUACUCGGUAGGAAGGGGUAAAAUCCUUUGAUCUAUCGAUGACCACCUGUGGCGAAGGCGGUCUACCAGAACACGUUCGACGGUGAGGGAUGAAAGCUGGGGGAGCAAACCGGAUUAGAUACCCGGGUAGUCCCAUCUGUAAACGAUGCAGACUCGAUGAUGCAUUGGCAUAUAGCCAGUGCAGUGUCGCAGGGAAGCCGUUAAGUCUGCCGCCUGGGAAGUACGUACGCAAGUAUGAAACUUAAAGGAAUUGGCGGGGGAGCACCACAAGGGGUGAAGCCUGCGGUUCAAUUGGAGUCAACGCCGGG